CAAUUUUUGUACUGCACAAGGGUACUGACCCAUCAAAGUUGGUCCAGGACUCUCGUGAGGUGCAAUAAUGGC
rnacentral:pre_miRNA from 1 species